AGAGAUUCGAGCUUUUCAGAUUCAUUUCCUGCAUUGGUCAUUACAGAAUAUUGAGUACAGUUCCCUGUGCUGUACAGGAGGCCCUGUUGGUUGUCUGUUCUGUAUACAGUGGGGGGUGUGUGUUCGUCCCAAGCUCCUAAUUCAUUCCCCCUUGCUGCAUCCAUUUCCCUUUCGAUAACUGUGAGUUUAUUUUCAAAAUUUGUGUGUCUGUUUGGAAACAUGUUCAUUUGUAUCAUUUUUGGAAAACCUCACAUAUGAGUGAUAUCAUAUCGUGUUUGUCUUUCUCUGGCUUAAUUUUCUCUGACAGAUGGACGGAUAAAGAAGAUGCGGCAUGUGGGAGCGGUAGAAUAUUACUCGGCCAUGAAAAAGAAUGGAGUGACGCCGCUUGCAGCAGCGUGGGUGCCCCAUGGUCUUUUCUUGAUCAGAUACGAUUUUUCUGUCUCACUCUAUGAUAAAUAGUUUUGUUUCUUCUUUAACACACAAAUCGUUCAGUGCAGGACACAAAGAUCAGCAGCUGUCAGAAGAAUAUCUACUCUCUAGGACUGAACUUUCUGAUCCCCUCACGCUAUUAAGGAAUGCCAGCUACACAGAUGGGUCUUAUUCCAAGCCCUGCAACUGGACUCUUGGGCUCCGUGAAACUGUAGAGACCCAUCUGGAUGGCUUGUGUAUGUCUCUAGUGAAAACCAAGCUCUGUAUCACUAUCCAUCACAGUAUAUUAUAACUCAGUCUGUCCUACCCAUGUGCCUGAGACUGUCUCAAUGUUGUUAAUUUUUCAGUUAAAAGAACGUGAGUCCACUGAACGCUCUUUUCUCACAGCUUCUUUCCUGCUUUGAAACCACACCUGUCCGCCAUUCCACAGUCAGCAGUCUAGAACAGCCCGCACUCCCCCAGAAACUCGCAGAAAGUCUUAGAAUCACUGGGCAUUCUUUCCUAAGGUGUGACUGUUGCGGCCGUUGCUUGUAGGUUCUGCUCCCCGGGCACAUCCAGAGUCUCCAAGCCGCUCAGUUCACUGGACAAUGAAAUCUUCAAAUUCUCAACAAAUCGCUCUACAAAUUGUCAUUUUUUAGCUCAGCUUUCCUGAGGUUUAAUCUCUAUAGGAUAAAAUGCACCUGUUUUAUAUAUUCUGUGAGUUUCGAAGACAGUGGAGCAGCAUGAGCAAAUUAUACUACUUUCAGCAAACUUCAGAAUAAAUAAACAGGCAGGACAGAAAGCGAAGAGGGACUAAACAGCCUCUUGAUGGAAGUGAAAGAGGAGAGUGAAAAGCUGGCUUAAAACUCAACAUUCAAAAAUGAAGAUCAUGGCAUCUGGUCCCAUCAUUCCAUGGCAAAUAGAUGGGGAAACAAUGAAAACAGCGACAGACUUUAUUUUCUUGGGCUCCAAAAUCACUGCAUGAAAUUAAAAGAUGUUUGCUCCUUGGAAGAAAAGCUAUGACCAACCUAGACAGCGUAUUAAAAAGCAGAGACAUUACUUGGCCAACAAAGGUCCGUCUAGUCAAGGCAAUGGUUUUUCUGGGAGUCAUGUAUGGAUGUGAGAGCUGGACUAUAAAGGAAGCUGAGCACUGAAGAACUGAUACUUUUGAACUGUGGUGUCGGAGAAGACUCUUGAGAGUCUCUUGGACUGCAAGGAGAUCUAGCCAGUCCAUCCUAAAGGACAUCAGUCCUGAAUAUUCUUUGGAAGAACUGAUGUUGAAGCUGGAACUCCAAUAUUUUGCCACCUGAUGUGAAGAACUGACUCACUGGAAAAGACUCUGGUGCUGGGAAAGAUUGAGGGCAUGAGGAGAAGGGGACAACAGAGGAUGAGAUGGUUGGAUGGCAUCACUGACUCAGUGGACAUGAGUUUGAGUAAGCUCUGGGAGUUGGUGAUGGACAGGGAAGCCUGGCGUGCUGUAGUCCAUGGGGUCACAAAGAGUCAGACAUGCCUGAGCGACUGAGCUGAACUGAACUGAGCCUUGGGUGUCUGACUACCUAGAUUCUAACCCUGGUUCAACUACCUAUAUGACCUAGAGCAAGUCUCCUAAUUUUCUGCCGCAACUUUCUUAUCCUUGUGAUGGAAAUAAUCACUGUAACCACCUCCUCUGGUGUUGACAAGGUGAAGUAUCGCAGUGCCUGCAAGAGGAAAGGUGACAGUUGGCGUUUUCGCCUCUGGAGGAGCAGUCCCUCUGACGUGUCUGCUUGGGUUUCAGGGCAGCUGCCCUCUGCUCUUCUGAGCCUGCAUCUUGUAAGCACCCAGGGGUGAACCUUCCGAGAUUCCACAUGUAAGCAACUUCACAUGAGAUCUGUCUUUGUCUGACUUCCUUCCCUUGCUUCCCUGAUGGCUCAGAUGGGAAAGAAUCCGCCUGCAAUGUGGAAGACCUGGGUUUGAUCCCUGGGUUGAGAAGAUCCCCUGGAGGAGGGCAUGGCAACGCACUCCAGGAUUCUUGCCUGGAGAAUCCCACGGACAGAGGAGCCUGGUGGGCUGCACUCAUGGGUCACAACGAGUCCGACCACGACUCAGUGACUGAGCACAGGUCUGCUUCUCUUAGUGUGAUAAUCUCUGCGUCCAUCCACGUUGCUGCAAACACCGUUCUUUCUUUCUUCUUAAUGACUGAUACCCCAUCGUAUAUGUGCAUCGAAUCUUCUUUAUCUUUUCAUCUGUCAAAGCACAGUUAGGUUGCUCCCAUGUCUUGGCUGCUGUGAAUAGCCCACCGUGAACACUGGUGGCGUGUAUCUUUUCAAAUGAGAGUUUCUCCAGAAGGAGAAACUUUAUCAACUAGAGUUAUCAGGGAAGGCAUCAUGGAAGAGGUAGGGUUGUACUGGGCUUUAAAGAAGAUGUACAGUUCAGGUGACAGUGAGGCUGGGGCUACAGUGAGCCAAGACUAAAGCUGUGGGCUUGAGCAGGGGAACCGCUGACCUGGGACUGGCAAGACCCAGGUUGGGAGUACCUUGGCUGGACCGCUUCCCCUUCAGUUCCUUCAUCUGCGAAAUGUGUGAAAUGAUCUGCGCCGGUUGGUCUUUCAGGGCUCUGGAGAGGAUCUAAUGGGAGCUUGAGUGUGGAAACUCUUCGGAAACCAUGAAGCAUUCAGUGAAGCAAGAGGGAACAUUUUUUUCUUCUCUUAGCCCAUAAACUUCAUGACAGCACUGGGCAUGACUGAUUCUGUCAGCCUUUAAAAAAUGCUUCAUGAAGUUUACGAAAAGAUUAUGCUGCAAACCUUCAUCAGUUGCUCAGUCGUGUCCGACUCUGUGUGACCCCAUGGACUGCAGCACACUAGGCCUCCCUGUCCAUCACCAACCCUCUGAGCUUGCUCACACUCAUGUCCAUCGAGUCAGUGAUGCCAUCCAGCCAUCUCAUCCUCUGUCAUCCGCUUCUCCUCCCACCUUCAAUCUUUCCCAGAGUCAGGGUCUUUUCCAGUGAGUCAGUUCUUUUCACCAGGUGGGCAAAGUAUUGGGAGUUCCAACUUCAGCAUCAGUCCUUCCAAUGAAUAUUCAGGACUGAUCUCCUUUACGGAGAAGGCAAUGGCACCCCACUCCAGUACUCCUGCCUGGAAAAUCCCAUGGACGGAGAAGCCUGGAAGGCUGUAGUCUAUGGGGUCGCUGAGGGUUGGACACUACUGAGUGACUUCACUUUCACUUUUCACUUUCAUGCGUUGGAGAAGGAAAUGGCAACCCACUCCAGUGUUCUUGCCUGGAGAAUCCCAGGGACGGGGGAGCCUGGUGGGCUGCCG
ensembl:lncRNA